UGAAGAACCGGAUGUCCGAUGCAGGAAGUGACUCUGCGUUUUUUUCGGAUAUUUACUUCCUCUUCAAUCGGACUUCUGAUGAUGAGGUAAUAGUUCUUCAUUGCUCUGUGUUUCUUGUGUAAAUAUUAUUUCUAAACUUUCAUAAUACUUUAAAAGUCAAAACAUUAAUGUUGUAGGUAUAAGUGAUGUGUUGUUUUAAGUAUUUUUUUAUGCACCAUUUUGUUAAGUAAGGAUUAGAGCGUCGAAUGUUUGAAAUGUUUGGUCAUAAUUACACAUGGUAUUUACGCAGGUAUCACUCCGCCAGAAAAGUAGAGACCUGUGUAUGUGUUUCAUGUUUCCAACAAAGGUAUGUGGAUUUGUGAAUUAUUAUUAUUUUUUUGUGAUAAAACGUUUUUUUUAACGUAAUUUAAAUUAUUAUUUUUUUUGUAUGAAUGAAUGUUGUUUAUUCUCUCUUCUAUCGGACUUUUAAUGAUGAGGUAUCACUCCGCCAGAAAAGUAGAGACCUGUGUAUGUGUUUCAUGUUUCCAACAAAGGUUGUUUAUUCUCUCUUCUAUCGGACUUUUGAUGAUGAGGUAUCACUCCGCCAGAAAAGUAGAGACCUGUGUAUGUGUUUCAUGUUUCCCACAAAGAUAUGUGGAUUUGUGUAUUAUUAUUAAUUUUUUUGUGAUAAAACGUUUUUGUUAACGUAAUUUAAAUUAUUAUUUUUUUUGUAUGAAUGAAUGUUGUUUAUUCUCUCUUCUAUCGGACUUUUGAUGAUGAGGUAUCACUCCGCCAGAAAAGUAGAGACCUGUGUAUGUGUUUCAUGUUUCCAACAAAGGGUGUGGCGUGGGCGUGACGUGGGCCGGGCCGCCAUGCGAUGGGAAAAUGACCAGACGCUCCAGCUGAGAUGAAGUCGGGGUACGUCCUCCCACAGCAUGCAGCAUGAGAUGAACGCCACAAACCAGGCUCGCCAGCGACCGACUCCACCGACUCCGAGCGUGCGCUCUACACGGUGAACCCGUCGCCGUGUGAUUCAGCAGCGACACGCACCUGCAUACUGAUGCUGCUGUCACCAGUCUGUCAAUCUGCCCGCGCUCAACCCGGGAGAGAAAAACCGUCUGAGGAAUGCAGGCGGUUAAAGACCUACUGAAACUUACUACUGCCAACCACGCAGUCUGAUAGUUUCUAUACAGUGGGGCAGAAAAGUAUUUAGUUAG